rnacentral:tRNA from 1 species
UCCCUGGUGGUCCAGUGGCUAAGACUCCGUGUUCCCAAUGCUGGCGGCCUGGGUUCAACCCCUGGUCAGGGAA